CACCCCCUCUCCUCCUCUCCCCACCCUCAUUGAGCCAAGGGCACUUCCACGGGUCUAUGAGCUUUACUGCCCAGUGGUUGAUGCUUAAUUCAGCCACUAGGGAGGGCUGGCCAUGGGGGUUGAGGGGCCGUGGAGAACAGCGACAGAGGUGGAUUUCACCUGAAUGACGGCAGCGGCCGGCCACAUGGCUGUGACUCAGGUCCAGUUUCUCCCUCUCCACCUCUUGCCUUGGAUAAAGUCCAUGUAGGUGACACCAGAGUGCUGACCUGGCUGCCAUUUGAAGGCGCUGUGACCUGUGAUGAGCCACUCAAACCGUAAGUCAACAUUUAUCUGUAAGGAGCCAUAUUCUGCACAUCCAGAAAAGGUGAAUUUUCCAGAUGAGAAGGACCUUGAAGAUUUUCUACUCUGGCAGUUUCCAUCCUCACUGCUGAGUGCCACUUUUGUUCUUUUCCCCGCCAGCCCUCAUGUUUUCAAAGAUUGUGUUGCCCAAACUGCCUUUGUUAAGUAAUAAUUUGUUUUCCAAUUGUUUAAUUAAUCAAAGACAUAAAUAACUGCCAACCUGAGCUUUUAAUCAGUGUAGGGGGGAGAGAGGCCAAAAGCUGAUACUUAUUAAGCACCUGCCACGCACCAGCCGCUGCCCCCGCACCCUUCAUGCUGUCCUCCCACAACCCCUCCGUGCCAGGACAUGGAGGGACAGAGAAGCAGUUCUCCUUCGCCAAGGUCACACGGGCAGCCAGAGGCAAAGCCAGGACCAGCUCCUGAGUCUGCCCAAUGGCAAAGGUCCACUCUUUCUACAGCUGGCUACCACCUCUUGUCUUGCCACCCUGGGGUGAUGCAAUUCCAGCCCAAGGCAAAGGAAAGGCAUUUAUAUCCGCCUGAAAUACUGAAAAUGCCUCCUGUGUUGAGCCAAGACUCUUUCCACUGCAGAUGACAGAAGCACGACUCAAACGGACUCAGAUAAAACAAAGGAUGUGGGGGCUGGUUGGCUCACAUAACUGGAGUCCAAGUGGAAGGUUAUCAGCAGGGAGCCCGUGGCAGCGUUCACCCCAUGUGACCAAUGAGGAAUCUGAAGACCAGAAAGGGCCUGCCCUGAAAGGGAAUGGAACCCUGACGCAGGCCACAGCGCAGAAGGACCUUGAAAACACGGCGCUAAGUGAGAAAAGCCGGACGCAAAGCACUACAUCCCCUAUGAGUCCAUUCAAAGGAAAUGUCCAGAACAGGCAAAUCUGUAGAGACAAAGCAGACAGAGACUGCUCAGGGCUAGAGGGAAUGGGGGGAUAGGGGAUGAUUGCUGAAGGGUAUGGGGUUUCUUUUUUGAGGUGAUGAAAAUGUUCCAAAAUGGACAGUGGUGACAGUUACACAACUCUGGGAAUACACUAAGAAGUGUUGAGUUCUACACUUCAAAUAGUUGCAUUGUGUGGAACGUGGAUUGUAUCUCAAUAAAGUCUUUUUAAAAAGAAAGAUAGGCCGGGCGCAGUGGCUCAC
rnacentral:lncRNA from 1 species